GUUCCUGUAGCGCAACGGAUAGCGCGUUGGACUUCUCAUCCAAAGGUCGGGGGUUCAAAUCCCACUUGGAAUG
rnacentral:tRNA from 1 species